UUCUGAGGCUGUCGGAGGUUCAACAAGGUUUCAGAUUCAUCAUUUAGAAAACUUCGUUCAGAAUUCAGAAUUGCAAUUCAUUUAGUCCCGAGGGGCCUAACCUUGAAAUUGUUUCUAUCAACAUAUCAGCGUCACAUCCUUAUCCAUUCUCAAAAAGUUGCCCCGUCGUUCAAACGACUGAAUUUGACUAGUCAAGAGGAGCAUUGAAACAAGCUUUUUGAGUGAUAAGCAAAUAUAGAUUCAUUCAUUCCCUCAGUAAAUGUUCCGAUAACCAGGAAUCCUACGUAAGGAGCGGAGGUUUGAGGUUCAGAUUAAUAAUAAUAAUAAUAAUAAAUUGCAGUUUUUAACUAUGGCUUAUGGCCAAAAUACUAAUGUACAGUAGAUGGUACUUAGUGUUAAUGUUAUUUACGGCAGUCUGCAAAAAAAGGAGAGAAAAAAAGACUAAUCUUAUUUUAAGAGAACCUUUUUGUGUUUUUAAAUGUAGUUGAAAAUCACAGUCCCGAAAAAUCUAUGACUAUAGUGCGUUUACUUUUCUAAGAUCGCUCUGAUGGGGUCAGGUAGAAAAGGCAGAGUUGUCAUAUCUACGGGUAUGUCAGUCCCAUUAAAUGCUUCCCGCAAAUAUAAUCCUUCUUAGGAGGAUUCGCUUUAGACCUUGGGAGUCGAGGGAAAGGGUUUGCUUCUUCCCUGUUAACUUUUUUUUUUUUAAUUCUAUUUUCAUUCCCAAUUCUAUUUAGUUAUUCCUUCUUUCUCUUUCUAUAAUUACAGAUGCGCUGAAUGGCCUGUUGGCUCCGGUGUUUGGACUUGAGACAUAAUUUUAUAAGUCAAUAGAUCUAUUAUGCCCUUAGAAAAGACAACCACUCAUUCCUUCUUUGCAUAACAUUUUUAUCAGAAUCAUCCGAGUCAGUCACAUAACUCACUACUUUCUCUUUUCUUUUUUGAAAUACUGGAGAUUCCACUAUAUUUCCCGUCUCUCUUGCUUCCUUGUUAAGUCUACGAACAGUCAAUUCUAACACUUUUGUUGCUUCAGACGUUCUCUGGAUAGCCUUCGAAACAUCAGUUACAGGACCUUCAUGAUGUUUUUAUAAAAUGAAGUAUUUCAGGAAAUUACAGAAUAUUUCCUUGGUCUCAGGUGGUGAAGGCGUUUGCGAGUCACUUGGGCUGUCCGUUCAUACUUAUCACAGUGGGUGAUCGAGAGCGAGUAUCCUUUAAUGAUACUGACCAUGACCUUUUAAAUCCUCUUAAAAAUCAUAGGUCCCCUAAACUCAGAUCUGGCAUUGCCGGGGAAAAUUAUGCCAUAUCUUCAUUUUCGUUAAUGAAACUGAGGUUUUAACGAAGAAUAUACGAAAUAAGAUAUAUUCAAAAUAUCUGAUGGGAACAAAGAACCACAUCUCAAGAAAUGAAAACUAUUUCAAUAGACUCCAUGAUAAUAAUAUGAUUACCAUAACAUGAAAAUUGGCAACGUAUGAUAUAUGUACAAGCCACACCACAGCGAUCUUAGAAAAGUAAACGCACUGUAAUACCUUGGAAAAUUAAACUUUUUUUUUUUUUUCUAAAGUGAAAAGCAAAACCAGCUUUUCAGACAUUUGAAAAGCUUAUGUUUCUAAUAAGUUGUGUUUGGUAUAAUAAUAAUGAUACCAGAGCAUUUAUGAUUUUUUUUUUCUUCAUUACAAAGAAUGUUUACAGCCGAUUCCAACCAGCGCGACGGACCAUUCAGUCUCCGGUUCCUGGACUCUGUCUUACCAUCUUCGAUGUUCAGAAGAGUCGCCAAAGUCGUGAUGAUCUUGGCGAUGGUGUUGUUGCUGAUGAGGCUUGUGCCGCCCAAGAGGUUCCCAACAACUGUUACAAAAAAUGAAAGUCCAACUCCAGCGAUCAUGAGGGUCUGUCAGGAUAAGGUAGCAGCUGUUGCUAUGGAAACUUGUCCCGAGUGUUGCCUUAUCGAGCAAGGGUUCAAACGACUCAUUUUCCCUCUUCACUUGAUUAUCUACACUUAGAUUCUGCCGCAUCUGUAAGGAGCAAUGUGCACAGAGAAUUCAUGAUAUCGUCAGCAGUUAUGGUUCAUCUUAGUCCGGGUUUCCGCCUCGAAGACUGUCUCUGAGAAUCUACUUCAGCGGUUCAGAGAAAAUAAACCAAGAAUUGGACAUGACAAGUAUUAGUGACGUUUCAUUAUAAACGACUUUUUUCUUUUGUUUAUAAUCUAGGAACGAUUCCGGAUUACAGUGUGGGAAAACUGUACACAGUCGUCAGAAAUCCUGCAUUGUUCCUUAAGUUAACAAAUAACCAAAGUCACAAAUGUCAUACCACAUAACACAUGGGACAUCUGGUCACACGUUGGUGUUUGUUACUAAUAAAAAAAAGUAGCUUGAGAGAAAAAGAAGAGAGCAACCGCAUUCAUUUUCCAAUUGUUGAAAAGAGGACGAAUGUUCAGUAUAAAAAAUCUAUGAAAAAGCAAAUCAGACUUCGACGGCGCUACGCAAUUGUAACAAGAACAUGAAAAUGAAAUCUGGCUAAUAGCAAGAGUCGGAAUCGUUACCGCAGGAACCCUCAUUCACAAGCAAAAAGAAAGCAUAAUUAUGGAAGUCACACCAUCUGGCAGAAUGAGAGAGACGACAUAUUGCAGGUACGAAAAUAGAAAUCCUUACGGAGAGCAACCAGUGUCUGUCUACCUCGUCAUUCAAAUGGCUUGGAGUUCAUUGCCUGUUUUGCUGGAGACAUUAAGAAUAAAACGAUAAACACAAAUAAACAGCAAGAAAGAGUUUCAAGACUAAACGGAGGAUUCAAUGGAACCCGCGGGCAAUGAGGGAAGAGGCCUUACUGACUUUGCAUGAGAAAGGCUGCCAAAUUCAUGAACGUUUGUUUUGAAGGAAAUGUCAAAGAUAUUCCAACACACAAAGUUUAUCUGAAGAAUUGUGUGCGCCCUUGUGACGCUAGUCAACUUCACCAUUAACUUCAGACGUGAAAAAAGAAAAAUCAAAGGAAAAUGAAGAAAGUUUAGAUAGGACGAGCCAUCGUUAAAACACGAAAUUAGUCUUCCUUUCUAAACCUCUAAGCACUUCUUCCCCUGAAUAAAUAGCAGCAGUGUGAGUUAUUAGAGGAGCGACAGACGUCGUGUUCACUCUAGGAAAACGUGUGGUAUUACGAUGAAUAUAAUGCAGCCACUCAUGAUUCAGUCAACUGGAAUUUGAAUGUACUACUACACAGAUAUGAAGCAAAGACGUCGUCAGAAAAGGUAAUCACUUAUCGUGUAGAAAGUAGGUCCAAAAACAGAUUUCAGUUAUCCCAUGGAUAGGUAAGUUGUUUUCAAAGAAUGAACUACCGAGAGAGAGAGAGAGAGAGAG